UACGUAGGUGGCAAGCGUUGUCCGGAUUUAUUGGGCGUAAAGGGAGCGCAGGCGGUGACUUAAGUCUGAUGUGAAAGCCCACGGCUCAACCGUGGAAGGCCAUUGGAAACUGGGUCACUUGAAUAUAGAAGAGGAAAGUGGAAUUCCAUGUGUAGCGGUGAAAUGCGUAGAUAUAUGGAGGAACACCAGUGGCGAAGGCGACUUUCUGGUCUAUUAUUGACGCUGAGGCUCGAAAGCAUGGGUAGCAAACAGGAUUAGAUACCCCGGUA
rnacentral:rRNA from 1 species